GUUCUUUAAUGAGGACUAGUAUGAAUGGCACCACGAAGGUUAUACUGUCUCCUUUCUUUAAUCAGUGAAACUAAUCUCCCCGUGAAGAAGCGGGGAUAAGCCUAUAAGACGAGAAGACCCUAUGGAGCUUUAAACAUAAGUAACAACUGCUCAUUAAAUUUUUUAAUCUCAGGAAAUUAAUCACAACACUUAGGCACUUUGAUUACAAGUUUUAGGUUGGGGUGACCGCGGAGCAAAAAAUAACCUCCGCAGUGAAUGGAACUUAUUUCCUAAACCCAGGGCUACGACCCUAAGAAUCAAUAAAUUGACACUGAUUGACCCAAUAUUUUUGAUCAAUGAACCAAGUUACCCUAGGGAUAACAGCGCAAUCCACUUCAAGAGCCCCUAUCGACAAGUGG
rnacentral:rRNA from 1 species